rnacentral:other from 1 species
ACUGCCCUACCGUGUGCGUGGUCAACCUGGCUAUGUUAUGAGCCAACACCAUAACAUUGGGAGCCUAAUCUCUGAUAGCGGCGUGCAGGCCUUUUAAAAAGGAAGCAUUAAGUUAUUAGGACGGCACCCACCUGCCGAGGCAGGUUCAUUAACAGUCAGGAUUAACGGCAUGGUGGGGAUUUU